rnacentral:rRNA from 1 species
GAGGAAUAUUGGACAAUGGAUGGAAAUCUGAUCCAGCCAUGCCGCGUGCAGGAAGACGGCCCUAUGGGUUGUAAACUGCUUUUGUAUGGGAGCAAUAAGGGCUACGUGUAGUCCGAUGAGAGUACCAUACGAAUAAGCACCGGCUAACUCCGUGCCAGCAGCCGCGGUAAUACGGAGGGUGCAAGCGUUAUCCGGAUUUAUUGGGUUUAAAGGGUGCGUAGGCGGUUUGAUAAGUCAGCGGUGAAAUAUUUCAGCUUAACUGGAAGGGUGCCGUUGAUACUGUCGAGCUUGAAUUUAGUUGCUGUGGGUGGAAUGUGUGGUGUAGCGGUGAAAUGCAUAGAUAUCACACAGAAUAUCGAUUGCGAAGGCAGCUCACAAAGCUAAUAUUGACGCUGAUGCACGAAAGUGUGGGGAUCAAAC